UUUUUCUUCCAGGUGGGAGUGAAUCCAUUGAAAAUGUUUAUGAUGAUGUUCCUUUAGACGACUUCAGAGCAGCUAAAAGGCAAAUUGUUAAUCCUUCCGCUUGUAUGCCAUGGGGUCUUCCUUGCAUACCUGAUAGUCCAUACAGAUUUGCACGAUGUUGUAAAGGAUACGUGUGUGCCUGCAAUAUAUGGAAGUCAGCCUGCAAAUGCCGAUCUCGUUUAGGUUAAAACACAGCCUACCAAUUAUUAAAAUCUGCAUAGAUCAGGGAGAAACUGAAUUGAACUUUUUACUUUUUUUCAUCUAAAAUAUUGUGUAAUUAAAUAAAUAUAUAAAACUUUGGAAAAA